rnacentral:rRNA from 1 species
GACGAACGCUGGCGGCAUGCCUAAUACAUGCAAGUCGAGCGCAGGAAACUGACGGAACUCUUCGGAGGGAGGGCAGCGGAAUGAGCGGCGGACGGGUGAGUAACACGUAAGGAACCUGCCUCAAGGAUUGGGAUAACUCCGAGAAAUCGGAGCUAAUACCGGAUAGUUCAACGGACCGCAUGGUCCGCUGAUGAAAGGCGCUUCGGCGUCACCUUGAGAUCGCCUUGCGGUGCAUUAGCUAGUUGGUGGGGUAACGGCCACCAAGGCGACGAUGCAUAGCCGACCUGAGAGGGUGAUCGGCCACACUGGGACUGAGACACGGCCCAGACUCCUACGGGAGGCAGCAGUAGGGAAUCUUCCACAAUGGACGAAAGUCUGAUGGAGCAACGCCGCGUGAGUGAUGAAGGUUUUCGGAUCGUAAAACUCUGUUGUAAGGGAAGAACACGUACGAGAGGAAAUGCUCGUACCUUGACGGUACCUUACGAGAAAGCCACGGCUAACUACGUGCCAGCCGCCGCCGUAA